GACGGGGGAUGCAAGUGUUAUCCGGAAUCACUGGGCGUAAAGCGUCUGUAGGUGGUCAAAUAAGUCAACUGUUAAAUCUUGAGGCUCAACCUCAAAAUCGCAGUCGAAAACUAUUAGACUAGAGUAUAGUAGGGGUAAAGGGAAUUUCCAGUGGAGCGGUGAAAUGCGUAGAUAUUGGAAAGAACACCGAUGGCGAAGGCACUUUACUGGGCUAUUACUAACACUCAGAGACGAAAGCUAGGGUAGCAAAUGGG
rnacentral:rRNA from 1 species